rnacentral:lncRNA from 1 species
AUUAAUAUAUUUGCAUACUUUAUCAACCAUUUAGCAGCUUAUUUUUAUUUCAGGCUCCAUUUAGAAUUGGGAUUUGAGCUCUCCAGGAGACCCUUCUCACUCGGAGUCUGGCAAGGUACACUGACAGAGUCAGGACAGUGGAUUUUCAGCAUGAUCAAAGCCUCAAGCUUGUUUGGUGGUAUGCAGAAAACCCAGAAACUUCUGGUUCUCUCAAUGCUAAUUUGACCCAGAGGAUUGCUUCCCUUUAAGGUACAUCAUCUGUCUUGCAAAAUGCUGGGUCAACCUGCUACCCUUCUCUUCACCUGUGCCUGGAGCAGCUGAAGGAAAUCAUACAACCAGGCAGACUGGCACCCUAAAUUCAUCACGGUGUCCUCAACGUGCCCAGCACCCCACUAUAUUUCACUGUCUCUGCUUUUCCCUUCUUCGCAGUGACUACUUCAAUUCUCCUUCUGUUCAAACAUUAAACCACCACCUCUCUACAUAUAUGUCCCUUCAAUCACCUCAAAGUCAAAUGCAAAAUCUUUACUCUGGGCCCCUCUCCCCCCCACCUCGCUGACACCUCCUUUUACCCCAUCUCUCCCUCUUUGACCUUUUGCUGAUAUUCUUGCUGUUCCUCCCCUAAAACACCAAGCAUGCUUCCAACUUAGAACCUUAGCAUACGCUAAUCCUCUGCCAGAAAAGAUUCUCCCUCGAUCUCUCCAGGACUCGCUUCCUCACUGCACUCAGAGCUCCACUCAAUGUCACAUUUUUGGGGAGACCUUUUUGGAGCACCCUACUUAAAAAAGCAUCACCCCACCCACCACCACUUUCCAGUCCCUUUAUCCUGUUUUAGCUUUCUUCAUAGCACUUAUCAUCAACUAAUAUAGUUUAUCUACUUAUUAGACGUCUUGUCUCCUUGAUUAGAAUGUAAACUGUAUGAGAAAAGAGACUUCAUUCUGUUCAUUUCUAUAGCGCCUGUGUUUACAGUGGAAUUUGGCAUGUACUGUUCCAAAACAAACAGUUGUUGAAUGAACGAAUAAGUGAAUAAAUGAAUGACAAAGCGAACUUUGUUCUCA